rnacentral:lncRNA from 1 species
AUGGAGGAGACUUUAAAGGAGAUCCAGAACUGCAGGAUAUUGUCUCAGAAAGCAGUGCUAGUCUGUUCUGGAACCUUCCUUCACCACCCUUGUCCUAAAUCAGUCAUGCAGUCCCGUGGCCUCACCCGUGACUGCGAGGACAUGGAUGUAUUUUCAGCCUCCUGUCCCUCAAGGCGCUUGUGAGCGAGGUGGAGUCUAAGUUCUUAUUCCAGGUCCCUGCCUGGUACCUGGAGAAGCAAAGUACAGGCACAUACACAGUGCACAAGCUGAUAAAAUGUAUUUAAAAGGUGAGAAACACACACACACACGCACGCACACACGCACGCAGGCAGGCAUAGUUCAGGAUUAGAGUGGGCCAGAAUGGGACAAGGAUGGGGGAGGAGAGUAGACAGAUAGUAAUGCCUGUGCACCCCUUUCCUUCUCGCCUGUGGAGGGAGGGGGAGAGGGGAGAGAGUGAGACCCUGCCAGUUACCUGCCUCUGAUGAGGUUGGAAGAGGUGUGGUUACAAGAUACCCCUCAGGUCCCAGGUGAAGGGAGAUAGGUCCUGGGAAAGUGGUUAUUUGACUGACAGGUAGGCAGAUAGGAUUGCACAGGGCAGAUAGGAUUGCACAGGGCAGGGGAGGUGUGGCUUCCAGCUCCCAGCCCUAGUCUAGCUGCAGACUCAGCGCUGACCCUCAGAACAAAAAGCACACAGGAAGCUGCUCCACUGCUCUCCGCUAUAUGUUGUGGGGUAACCGAGACUCUGGCUUCUUUCUCGUGAGUGUGAGACACCGAGCAGAGAUCCAAGCGGAGAGUCUGGAAAAUGAGGAAAAUCCAGGGUCUUGGUGAUGGAUCUAAACUCAAGUUGUUGCUUCAUAGAACCUGGAACUGUACUCCUCAAGGCUUCUGGUUCUAUGAUUGAACCUGUUUUUCUCACUGUUUAACACAGCACCGGGUCUGGUUUUCUGUUACUAUUAUCUGUGCGCAUCUUAAAUCCUCCAGUAUCUUCCACAGAUUUAAGAAAAACAUUCAGGAGCAAAUAAAAUCCAGAUAACUUUCUUGAAAUUUUCCA